UACGGGAGGCAGCAGUGGGGAAUAUUGCGCAAUGGGCGAAAGCCUGACGCAGCGACGCCGCGUGAGGGAUGAAGGUCUUCGGAUCGUAAACCUCUGUCAGAAGGGAAGAAAGCAGCGGGUGCCAAUCAGCCUGCUGUUGACGGUACCUUCAAAGGAAGCACCGGCUAACUCCGUGCCAGCAGCCGCG
rnacentral:rRNA from 1 species